UACGUAGGGUGCAGGCGUUAAUCGGAAUUACUGGGCGUAAAGCGUGCGCAGGCGGUUAUGCAAGACAGAUGUGAAAUCCCCGGGCUCAACCUGGGAACUGCAUUUGUGACUGCAUAGCUAGAGUACGGUAGAGGGGGAUGGAAUUCCGCGUGUAGCAGUGAAAUGCGUAGAGAUCCGGAGGAAGACCGGUGGCGAAGGCGGCCUGCUGGGCAGAUACUGACACUGAGGCGCGACAGCGUGGGGAGCAAACAGG
rnacentral:rRNA from 1 species